GUCAGCAGCCAUCAACAUUGAGGCAACACCCUCCACCACCAAAAAGAUUAUGACUCCCUGAAAUGUUAAUGAUGGUUAGCAUUUUUUGCAAGAAAGUAUUUUUAUUAAGGAAGUUCAUACACAAGAUGU